AGCAGCUUUUCCUAUAAAACCCAUUGUCCUGUCAGAGUCAGGCCCUUCUGAUGUCUCAUGCCUCCUAUCUAUGAACACAAAUUCCACUCAACAGUACACUGUAUAGGUCAUCAGCAAACCGGUUUCCAUACAGAAUCGUAAAACUAGGUACUGUUUUGAAAAGCCAUGUUUAAAUUGUGCUUUUCUGAAAUUCUUAGACAAAGGUUCUAGCAGGAACCUUCUUCCUACCUAGUAGUUCAGACUACACUUUGAGAACACAUCUAUUGUGGAUGUGACUAAUCGAGCACUGUCUAGAAUGUGAAUGAAUGGACAAGAGCUUCACCAUCCUACUGCAUGAGCAACUUAUUAAAAGCGGGGAAUCAUCAACCAGAUGCUACUAACAGAAUGUCUACCAUUUACUCAUUAAAGAUAAUUUCCUGAGUGA